AAAGAAAGAAAGAAGCAAAGAACGUGAAAGGAAAAACGAAAGAAAUCAAAGAACAAAGUAAAGAAGGUGGAAAGAGAAUCAGAUAGUUGUAGUUGUAAAUCCCCUUACGUGGCCCCCCUAUAUUUUGUCAUUCCUUAAUUCACUUAUUUUUUUAGUGGGUCCCAUCCCCUAAAUUGAUUUCCUCCAUAUCCUCUCUCAAAAUCACGUGCCCACCUUCGAUCCAUAACCGAAUUUGAUUCCUUUUGAUAAGAGUAGUGAGAAAUCCCUAGCGCCUCAAGCUCGACCACUUCAUAUCAUCGCUGCAUCUCCGUCAACCCAACACCUCAAAACCAUCAAAUCAUCUAUUUUCCACCAAAAAGCCACUGUUAUGUUAUUCUUCUCUCCAUUAGAACCACCAUAGCAGAUCUAUUUACACCACCAGUAGAUUGUCGUCUCUUAGCCUUACAUACCAUGAAUACCCAGUUGCAAUCUCGGUAAAACCUCAAAUAAAAUCCAGACACCAAUAGUUUAUUUUCCAGCUUCCAUCAUUAUCGAGUUCCGAGUUUUAAGGCGAGGUAUCUAAAUGGAAAGAAUUCGUGUCAGUGAGGUUUCCGAUUCGAGGACCGUACGGCAUCCGCGGUUCAAGUUCCAAUCGUCGUUGCUUGCUAUAGCAAUUUUGCAUCAAAAUAGAAAGUUGGAGACUCUCGUUAAUGGCAAAGCUCUAUUUGAGGUCCAUUUCUUACUCUGAUUUGUAAAUGUUCUCUCUGUGAUCCUGUUAUCAAUCUUUGAUGAUUUAUAAUUGUUUUGCUGUUUCAUUGUUUGUUUAAGAUUUUGUUGAUUGGAUUCAUUUUGUUGAGUUUUCAUUUGAUACGUUAUUUGGGUACAGACAUGGAUUAGUUAGUUUCAUCCAUUUUAAAAGGGUGAAUGCACGUGAUUUAUUGGGUCAAUUGUUUUGGACUAAAAAUUCGUCGAGAGCAUAAAAUGAGUCAUGACAGUAAUUAGAAUUAAAAGCAAGUUUUGGAUUGUGAGUUAAAAAUAAAUUUGGACUUGGCUAUAUUCUGAGGUCAGGCUUGAUGUAAUUUAGUUGCUCUUUUACUUUGACGCUCACUAAUUGGAUCGGCUGGAGCAUGUUUUGGUUUAAAAUUGGAUUUGGGGUUUUGGUUAAUAAUGAAAAGGAAUUUGAGCUUAAGAAAGAUUCUGUUAUUCUCGUGUUGAUUCUCAUUUAAUUAUUUGGGUCGUUAGGAGCAUACUUAGGAAAAUAAUCACUUGUGAACACCGUAGUUUACUUUAGGCGCGAUUAAUAAAUCAUCGUGGACAUGGGUACGGUUCCCGUGGCAUGGUCACGAUACGUAAAUCCCAACUCAAGUACGCGUUUCACGUGACUUGACCUCAACUUCAAAUAAUAAUAACAAACAUGUUGUAAAUUAUGGGUGCGUUUCACGUGGCACGAUUCGCAAUAUGUACAAAAACCAACGAGUGCGCGACAUCGCGACUUGUUCAAAAAAAUCCCAUAAAUACUAAAAGCGAUUGAAUUAAUUAAAAGCGAUUAGAAUGUUAAAAAUGCAUGAUAGGUUUUAAACAUGUAACAAAUCAGAUAAUUAGGCCCAUUAUUAAUAAUUAAACGACCGUGCUAAAAUCACGAAAUUCGGGAGUACCUCACACCUUCUCCCGGGUUAACAGAACUCCUUACCCGGUCUUCUAGUUUUUGCAGACUUUCAAACAUAGUUAAAUUUCCUCGAUUUGGAAUUUAAAAUAAAUCGGUGACUUGGGACACCAUAAAUUAUUCCAAGUGGCGACUCUGAUUAAAUAAAUAAUCUCAUUUCGAUUAAUGUCACUUUAAUUGGAAAAACUCCCUAUCCAUCGGGAAAAUGGAGGUGUGACAGCUCUGGCGACUCUACUGGGGACAAGAACCCAGAAUCUCUGGUUCAGGGUUCAGAAUUCGAGCUUAGAAUAACUUUUAUGCUUGGCUUUCUUGUGAUUGUCUGAUAUUACAUGUUUGGGCCUAAUGUGCUAAUUGCCGCUCAUUUACCGCUUUGAUAUUCUGUGAACUGUAUAUAAACUGUUACGCCACCCUUCUUCUCUCUGAGUCUUCUAAAUCUUCUGAGAAGCGCAUUUGGUGUGGCUUCUUUUCUAUUAGAGUGUCAUAUCCCUAAUUUAGAACGAGGAUCGGAUCAGUUAUAAAGCCGAAUGGCCUUUUGGUUUCUGGUACAUUGCCCUCCCUCCCCCCUCCCCCCAGCUCGAGCUGUCCUCUCGGGUAAGCCAGGUCUAGAAAAACACACCCCAGGAUUCAAAUCUAGAAUAACAUAGACUCAUGCCGGAUCCCUAGUAGGAACAUUUGUCUGCAUCACGUGCAUUUGACUUUGGGGACUCAACACAGGGGUUGAGUCUGUCUAGGACAUGUGUAUCCCAAAAUAAAAAGACCAUCCUGAUGCAUCUUAUGUGCUACUUGUUGCAUUUGUUUGUUCUGGUUUGCAUGUUGACUGGUUUCUAGAAUAGGGAAAGAAAAAUUUUUAAAAAAAGAGUGAGAGUUAGGUAUUUGAAAUCUGAAACUCUGCCGAAAUUUUAUUUUUUAAAAAAAGAAAGAAAAUAAGCCAAUAUUUUCAAAAGUCAUGUUUCCCCUAUUCCGUCAAAACUGACAGAACUACGCGGGCCUGAUUCUCACCGGAUGUGAGAUACGUAGGGAAACCUUAUCGGUCCCGGCCCACAAUUUUAAAAAAUAAAUCCAAAAAAUAUUUUUCUUUACUUACUUCUUUAGAAAGUCUUUCUUUUAGACCACAAUUUUCAAAAAAAUCAAAAACUAUUUUCCUUUACUUCCUUCUUUAGAAAGUUUUUUCUUUUAGACCCCAAUUUUCAAAAAUCCAAAAAUAUUUUCUUUUAAUUCCUUCUUUAGAAGUCUUUCCUUUGAAAAUUUCAAAUACAAAAAAAAAGAGUUUAAAAUUAAAAAUAUUUUCUUCCUUUAUAGAAGUCUUUCAUUCAAAAAAAAAAAAUCAUUCAAAAUUCAAAAAUAUGUUUUUUUUUUUUUUGGAAGUCUUUCUCCCAAAAAUCAAAAAUCNNNNNNNNNNNNNNNNNNNNNNNNNUUCGGAAAUUAAAAAAAACAAUCAAAAUCCAAAAGAGUUAGUUCAUUUACUUUAUUUCUUAUCUUCCCGAACUACGCAAGAUCUGAUUCAUGUUCCCAUAUGAUAUGUAGGCAACCCUCGUCAGGUUCGAUCUAAUGGUUUUAAAAAAAAGAGAGAGAAGAAAAAAAAAGAGAGAAAAGAAAGAAAAAAAACAGAUUGAUCAUUCUAACAUGCUUGUUGUUUUGAAAUAAAACCUGGUUAAAGGUAGUCGAUUUGUUGGUUUGCAACGGCGAGUCACAAAAAUAAUCCAAGAUCCCUCGAAAAUAAAAACAUUUUCUCAACCAAUGGAACAAGCACCACUAUUGUUGAUCCAAAGUCACGAAAAGGCAAGUAGGCAAGUUAGCAGUGAAAAAUCAAAAAUGGAGGCAAAUGUGGGGUUGACUUUACCAGAUUUGAGCAAUAGGACAUGGCAUGCUUGGGAUGAUUUGAGGAAAGGGAGACAUAAAAAUUCUUCCAAGUCCUUUAAUAAAUGAGUUGCUUUGAAAUUUUCCCAUGUCGUCAGUCCUGAAAUCCGACAGUCAAUAUUGGAAAUAUUUUGAUCAAAAAGCCAAAAUUUGAGUGCUGAAUCAGAAGGAAUAUAAAGGUUGAAUGUCGUAGUAGUGCUGAUGUACAAAUUUGUGGCAAAGAUGUUGCUUAGUAACUAGAAAGUCACUCUUCUUUUAUCCAUGGUAGCUUAUUUUUUCUUCUUUUCUUCUUCUUUUUGUGUUAUCGAACCCUUAUGUCCGUUAUUCAAUAAAAAAACAGUCAGUCAUUUUGUGUCCAUUUUGUGCAUAAUUCUUUUCACGCUAAUUCUAGUAACAUGACAUGCAUGUGAAAAUUUUGGCCAGAUCUUAAAAAACUUAUUUAAUAUUGAAUUGGAUAAGUGAGAAAGAGACACUUUUGAAGAUGAAUAAAGACAUGAAAUAUUUGAAAAAUAAGCAUGAGCCAAGUUUACAUGGGAACCAAAGCAGUCAUGCUCAUGGAAUUUAAGGAUCUCUACCUUUUGAAUCAUGAGAAGAUCGGGCUUAAGAAUAAUCGGACGGGUUGAAGUCUGUUUAGCACUAUGAGAUAGAAAGUGUUUUUCAAAAUAAGGUGUAUUAUAGACAACUUGAAAUGGAUCAGUUUAGUGGAAAAAUGCAUUUUUUACAUCAAGAUAAAAUCCAAGAAAAAGUCACCCAAAUUGACAAGGGUCAUUCACUGCGAGGAAAGUAUUGCUCAUACAGCUUUACACUGAAAAAGACCCAAAAAGCAACAUGUCCAUCAAUAUUGUGAUUGUGAAGGGCUUACAUGAUUGGCAUUCUCGAGGCUAGGAGGCCUUUUUCUGCUAUCCAAAUACUUUAUACCCUUCGUUACCCCUUUUGAACUUGUGUUAUUUUCUUUGACCACCCUCUUUUGGAAUCAAGUGUACAGUUGAAAGUAAAAAAAAAUGAAAUGAAAAAUGAAAAGAAAAGUUCAUGCCCCAAGAGUACAAAUUGGGCAAUUCUUAGAUAGUUCAAGUGAAAAAAAAGAGAGAAGAAAAUAACAGUCAAAGGUCCAUUUUCCCAGAAAAUAAAAGUUGGGGCAACUUAUUUUGGAAACAAAAAAAAAAAGAAGAAAAAAAGAAAAAAAAAAGAAAGAAAGAUGAAAGCAAAAAAAAAUAGUUAGGUCAGAUGUAUAAACUACGUUUGUCCUGAUUCCUUUUUAAAAAGGAUACGUAGACAGCCUUACACGGUUCGGUCCAACCAAAUAAGAAUUCAGAAGAAAAACAAAAUCAAAAAAUCGCCAGUAUCUGAAACCGGGGCAAAGAUUUUAUUUCACUUUUGAAAGAGUCGAUUCCAAGAAUUGUAAGUCUACAACUCCCUCAUUUUGAGUCUACUUUGACCCUCAUGUCGUCCAUUCUUUCUAAGCAUUUCCAAAAGCCUUCCAAACAAGACCUCCUGAUCAGUUUUGAGAAUGCCAAGGGAAAUCCGCAAUGAUCAAUGGUUGUCAUAUGGAGGACAUGGUCAUGGUUCUCACUCAAGGAAUCAAGAAAAAUCAAAAAAAAAGAAGAGAAAAAGAAAAAUGAGAGAGUCUUACUAGUGAAAACCCCCACGGGCACUGUAAGGCGACUGUAAGUAGAGAAAAUAAAUGAGAGAGGCUUGUUGGUGAAAAUCUCUCAGGGCACCACUAGUCGAAAGUGAGUCGUGAAUCUGAUGCAAAGGAUUGGGACGAACAAGCCCGACUUCAAAGGUCAUAAGAAUGGUAAAAGGGAAGAUUGGAUUAAUUUGAUAGAUCAGCCGUUAUUCAUGUCAUGAUCAUUAAGGCUAGUUAUUGAAAAAAGAAGAAGAAAAACUCUUCCCUCUUUCCUUCCCGACAGGGGCAUUUCUUGUUAAUACUGUUUCUUUGCAUCAUUGUGUCCCUUCACUCUGAGUCAGUCCUUGUCAAAACAAGCAAGAAAAGAUUUCAAAAUCUGCUGCCAACUUUUCAGUUGCACAAAGUAAAUUUGGCCAGCAUACUCAAGUGUUACAGUCAACAUGCCUUGAGGAUUCAUGCAAAGGCUUCCCCUCAAAAGACCCUUGUCAGUCUACUUGACUAAAGCAAGCAAAGAUAACCUCGAGGUUAAUCAGGGGCUCUCUGUAGUACUGAACAGAGACUAUGAAGUGUGCACAUCAUGCAAAAGGCGCAUACCCAGAUGCGACUCUCUCUGACAGACAAAUUAUCCCAAAAGCAAGAAGUCAUUCAAGAUAUCAGAAAAGGUCACCUAAGCAAAGAUCUCUAGUUGGCAUAAGGCUGAUUGAGCCACAAAUAAAAAUGGUACUGGGUUGAAACAAUCAGGGUUGAUGCAGAGCAAAAGUCUCUUAAAAUCGACUCAAGCUGAUUGAGCAAAAGCUAAGCUGCCCAAAACUCAAGGCCACAAACCGACCACCACUUUCAAACUGACAAAAUUUUCUUUGUUUGAAAUAGGAACAAAGCAGUGCAAGGAAAGUGGUUCAAAAAAAAAAAAAGAAGACAAGAGCCGACAAAGGGAAGUUUCUCAAAUCUUUGCCUUUAUUUGUCUUGCUAGUGUGCAUAAAAUCUUGCCAUUGCUCUUCACAUUUUUUUCCUCCUAGGGUAAUACAUCCUGGUCUGAUUGAUUUUCCUUCCAAUAAAGAUCUUAGUCUGAUGAAUCAUUCUCCUAAGAUAAAAAGCCCUAGUCUGAUGAAUUUUCUCCUAGGAUAAAUGUCUUAGUCUGAUGAUUUUUUCUCCUAAUAUAAGAAAACCUAGUCUGGUGAAUCUUUAUCCAAGGAUAAACGUCUUAGUCUGAUGAAUUUUGCUCGUAAGAUAAAACAACCUAGUCUGAUGAAUUUUCUCCUAGGAUACACAGUCUUAGUCUAAUGAAUCUUUCUCCUAAGAUAAGAAAACCUAGUCUGAUGAAUUUUUUCCUAGGAUAGAAAUCUUAGUCUGAUGAAUAUUUCUCCUAAUAUAGUAAAUUAGAAAACCUAGUCUGAUGAACUUUCUCCUAGGAUAGACGUCUUAGUCUGAUAGAUCUUUCUCCUAAGAUAAGAAAACCUAGUCUGAUGAAUUUUUUCCUAGGAUAGAAAUCUUAGUCUGAUGAAUCUUUCUCCUAAGAUAAGUAAACCUAGUCUGAUGAAAUUUCUCCUAGGAUAAAAAAUCAUAGUCCGAUGAAUCUUUUUCCUAAGAUUUAAACAAAAAAAAAAAUUCCUAGUCUGAUGAACUUUCUCCUAGGAUAGAAAUCUUAGUAUGAUGAAUUUUCUCCUAGGAUAGAAAUCUUAGUCUGAUGAAUCUUUCUCCUAAGAUAAGAAAACCUAGUCUAAUAAAUUUUCUCCUAGGAUAUAGAAAUCUUAGUCUGAUGAAUCUUUCUCCUAAGAUAAAGAAAAAAACCUAGUCCGAUGAAUUUUCUCCUAGGAUAAUUUAAAAAAAAGGUCAAUUUCAGUUUCUUUAAGUUGUUAACCUUAGUUUUCCUUUGGUUUAGGGGUCCCGCCUGAAAAAUAGGGUCAGUUUUUUUAGUUUUCUUAAGUUGUUAAUCUUUAGUUUUCCUUAGGUUCAGGGGUCCCGCCUGGAGAAUGGGGUCAGCUUUUAGUUUUUUUUAAGUUCAGGGGUCCUGCCUGGAGAAUAGGGUCAGUUUUUAGUUUCCUUAUGUUAUUAGUCAUUAGUAUUUCUUGAGUUUAGGGGUCCCGCCUGGAAAAUAGGGUCAGUUUUUAGUUUUCUUAAGUCGUUAAUCUUUAGUUUUUCUUAAGUUCAGGGGUCCCGCCUGGAAAAUAGGGUUAGUUUUUAUUCUAGUCAAGCUCAGUUUAUAGUUUUCCUUAGGCUCAAUCUCACAUCUAGGAGACGCACUUCCUAGUUUGAGUUAUUCAGUUUCUAGGAGAUGCACUUCCUAGUUCAAGUUUUACCCCUAGGAGACGCACUUCCUAGUCUGGGUCUUUCAGCUCAUUCUUUUAGGAGACGCACUUCCUAAAUUGAGAUUUCACUUCUAGGAGAUGCACUUCCUAGUUUGGGUAGUUUGAAUUUAUCCCUAGGAGACGCACUUCCUAGUGCAAACUGGGGCAGAAAAUUUUAUUCGUUUUGUUGUUUUUGUUGAAGGCACCCACCUGGAGAACGAGAAAAUUUAUUUCAGAGUUAUUUCAAGUUUCGAGUCAGUAGCAGGCGCCUACCUGGAGAACGAGGGAAGUCAUUUCAGAAUUCACUUCAAGUUUCAAGUCAGUAGCAGGCGCCCACCUGGAGAACGAGGGAAGUCAUUUCAGAAUUCACUUCAAGUUUCAAGUUAGUAGCAGGCGCCUACUUGGAGAGCAAAGGAAGUCAUUUCAGAAUUCACUUCAAGUUCGAGUCAGAGGCACCGGGAGCCCGCCUGAAGAACAGGGUCAACUUUCAGUUUUCAAGUUCAAGUCAGAGGCAGCAGGAUCUCUCCUGAAGAAUAGGGUUAACCUUCAGUCUUUUCAAUUAAAAUCAGAAGUAGCACAAGCCGCCUGAAGAACAAGGUUUGCAAGCUCAAGUCUACUCCAAGUUCAAGUCUACUCCAAGUUCAAGUUUAUUUCAAGUGCAAGCAGCAGGAUGCCAGCCUGAAGAACAUGGUCAAUUUCCAGUUUUCUUCAAAUUCAAGUCAGCGGGAUGCCCACCUGAAGAAUAGGGUGAAUUUUCAGUUUUAUGUUGAAGGAUCAAGUGAAGAUUCGAGGAAGAUUCAAGACAAGAAGUAGAUAGGAUCUUGUAUUUUUCUUUUAUUUUGCUGUAAUUUUUGCUUUCAAUUUAUGAUGUAAAUGGCAGGGACCACGAACCGAAGCCUCGAUGGAACCUCACUCAACACUCCAACUCAUCAUUCCAUCACUCUCCUUGAACUACACGCGACCUGAUUCCUUUAUAACCCGGGAUAUGUAGGCUGUCCAAAACCAGCACUUGGUUGCACCCUUUUUUUUAUUUUCUUCCUCUUUUGAAUAACGAUAUAGUCAAAAUUAGUCACACGGUUCAUUUUAUCUUUGCCUGAAAACUCUUCAUGUUUCCAAGCAAAGAGGGGCAGCUGUGAGCACGUAAUUUUUGACCUUACAUGAUUUUUUUUACCACCUAAAUUCAAAUAGCUUUUAGGUUUAAUUUAUAUUUUAGAUUUUUAUUUUUUUACUUUUUAGUAAACCUCGCGAGAUAAAUAGAAAACAACAAAAAUAGCCGCAAUUUUACAUUUUAAUUGUGUUCCCAUUUUCAAAAGAAAGAAAACGUUCCAAAAAAUAUAUUUUAACGAGUCUACUUUUAUUUUUUAAGUUAAGGAUUUUCAUAAAUGAAAUUUGAGUAGUUAGCAUUUUUAUCUAUAUAUAUUAAUCAAGUAGGAGUAAUAUUUUUAUUUUUAUUAAAAAAAAAAAGAAAGAAAAAAAAAAGAAAAAAGCAAAGAACGUGAAAGGAAAAAGUAAAGAAAUCAAAGAAGAAAGAAAAGAAGGUGGAAAGAGAAUCGGAUAGUUGUAGUUGUAAUUCCCCUUACGUGGCCCCCCUAUAUUUUGUCCUUCCUUAAUUCUCUUAUUUUUUAGUGGGUCCCAUCCCCUAAAUUGAUUUUCCUCCAUAUCCUCUCUCAAAAUCACGUGCUCACCUUCGAUCCAUAACAGAAUUUGAUUGCUUUUGAUCAUUUUGUUUUUGAGGGGACCACACAUUUUUAAUAUUCUUUUCUUGUUCUCCAAGCCCAUUAAUCUGGUGGGAGUUCUACAUAACAAAGACACACACUACACAAAGGAGAGAUAGUGAGAGCAGGGGAGAGUGAACGAAAAACAGAGUGGGGGAGGACGAACAGGAACAGAGCACGAAUUAUGAGAGUAGUGAGAAAUCCCUAGCGCCUCAGGCUCGACCAGUUCAUAUCAUCGCUGCAUCUUCGUCAACCCAACACCUCAAAACCACCAACUCAUCUAUUUUUCACCAAAAAGCCACUAUUAUGUUAUUCUUCUCUCCAUUAGAACCACCAUAGCAGAUCUAUUUACACCACCAGUAGACUGUCGUCUCUUAGCCUUCCCUACCAUGAAUACCCAGUCGCAAUCUCGGUAAAACCUCAAAUAAAACCCAAACACCAACAAUUUGUUUUCCAGCUUUCAUCAUUAUCGAGUUUCGAGUUUUCCGGCAAGGUAUCUAAAUGAAAGGUAUUCGUGUCAGUGAGGUUUCUGGUUCGAGGACCGUCCGGCGUCCGCGGUUUAGGUUCCAAUCGUCGUUGCUUGCUAUAGCAAUUUUGCAUCCAAAUAGACAUUGUAAAGUUGGACACUCUCGUUAAUGGCAAAGCUCUGUUUGAGAUCCAUUUCUUACUUUGAUUUCUAAAUGUUCUCUAUGUGGUCCUAUUAUCAAUCGUUGAUGAUUUAUAAUUGUUCUGCUGUUUCAUUUUUUGUUAAAGAUUUUCUUGAUUGGAUUCAUUUUGUUGAGUUUUCAUUUGAUACGUUAUUUGGGUACAGACAUGGAUUAGUUAGUUUUUUAAAAGGGUGAAUGCAUGUGAUUUAUUGGGUCAAUUGUUUUGGAAUAAAAAUUCUCCGAGAGCAUAAAAUGAGUCAUGACAGUAAUUAGAAUUAAAAGUAAGUUUUGGAUUGCGAGUUAAAAAUAAAUUUGGACUUGGCUAUAUUUUGAGAUCAGGCUUGAAGUAAUUUUAUUGCUCUUUUACUUUAUCUCUCAGUAAUUGGAUCGGCUGGAGCAUGUUUUGGUUUAAAAUUAGAUUUGGGGCUUUGGUUAAUAAUGAAAAGGAAUUCGAGCUUAAGAAAGAUUAUGUUAUUCUCUUGUUGCUUCUCAUUUAAUUAUUCGGGUCGUUAGGAGCAUACUUAGGAAAAUAAUCACUUAUGAACACCAUAGUUUGCUUUAGGCGCGAUUAAUGAAUUAUCGUGGCCAUGGGUAUGGUUCCCGUAGCAUGGUCACGAUACGUAAAUCCCAACUCAAGUGCAUGUUUCACGUGACUUGACCUCAACUUCAAAUAAUAAUAAUAAUAAUAAAUAUGUUGUAAAUCGCAGGUGCAUUUCACGUGGCACGAUUCACAAUAUAUACAAAAACCAACGAGUGCGCAACAUCGCGACUUGUUCAAACAAAUCCCAUAAAUACUAAAAGCGAUAGAAUUAAUUAAAAGCGGUUAGAAUGUUAAAAAUACAUGAUAGGUUUUAAACAUGUAAUAAAUCAGAUAAUUAGGCCAAUUAUUAAUAGUUAAGUGACCGUGCUAAAAUCACGGAAUCCGGGAGUGCCUCACACCUUCUCUCGGGUUAAUUCUUGUUUUCGCAGACUUUCAAACAUUGUCAAAUUUCCUCGAUUUGGGAUUUAAAAUAAACUGAUGACUUGGGACACCAUAAAUUAUUCCAAGUGGCAACUCUGAUUAAAUAAAUAAUUUUAUUUCGAUUAAUGUCACUUUAAUUGGAAACAUUUCCUAUCCCUCAGGAAAAAGGAGGUGUGACAGUACUAUGCAGAUGUGCAUCGACUAUAGGCAGUUGAACAAAGUUACCCGG
rnacentral:lncRNA from 1 species